rnacentral:rRNA from 2 species
ACCCCUGUGACAUACCUAUACGUUGCCUCGGCGGAUCAGCCCGCGCCCCGUAAAACGGGACGGCCCGCCCGAGGACCCCUAAACUCUGUUUUUAGUGGAACUUCUGAGUAAAACAAACAAAUAAAUCAAAACUUUCAACAACGGAUCUCUUGGUUCUGGCAUCGAUGAAGAACGCAGCAAAAUGCGAUAAGUAAUGUGAAUUGCAGAAUUCAGUGAAUCAUCGAAUCUUUGAACGCACAUUGCGCCCGCCAGUAUUCUGGCGGGCAUGCCUGUUCGAGCGUCAUUUCAACCCUCAAGCUCAGCUUGGUGUUGGGACUCGCGGUAACCCGCGUUCCCCAAAUCGAUUGGCGGUCACGUCGAGCUUCCAUAGCGUAGUAAUCAUACACCUCGUUACUGGUAAUCGUCGCGGCCACGCCGUUAAACCCCAACUUCUGAAUGUUGACCUCGGAUCAGGUAGGAAUACCCGCUGAACUUAAGCA